AACGCGAAGAACCUUACCCAGGCUCGAAAUGUAAUGGACGAUAUCAGAGAUGGUAUUUUCCGCAAGGACCGUUAUAUAGGUGCUGCAUGGCUGUCGUCAGCUCGUGCCGUGAGGUGUUGGGUUAAGUCCCGCAACGAGCGCAACCCUUAUCAUUAGUUGCCAACAUGAAAGAUGGGGACUCUAAUGAGACUGCCCGGGUUAACCGGGAGGAAGGUGAGGAUGACGUCAAGUCCGCAUGGCCCUUAUGUCUGGGGCUACACACGUGCUACAAUGGCCGGUACAGAAGGCAGCGAAACCGCGAGGUGAAGCAAAUCCGACAAAACCGGCCCCAGUUCAGAUUGUAGUCUGCAACUCGACUACAUGAAGACGGAAUUGCUAGUAAUGGCGAGUCAGCAACAUCGCCGUGAAUACGUUCCCGGGCCUUGUACACACCGACGCGUA
rnacentral:rRNA from 1 species